CGCAUUUUUGUCUUAACCAGGGACAUAUGUGGGAGGUCUGGACAUGACCACUGUUGUGCUAGGGACCUUCGGGCCGCUAAAUAGAUCAUGUUAAGGAGUCUUUGUUCGUGUCUGGGGAGGUCCUUUGUGGGUCUUGAGAGUAGGCACGCCCAUGGGUCUAACCCCAGUCGCUUUUGUAGGAUUUGGGAGCUGAGCUCCACAACUUUGCGCCAGUAUUCCGUGACCCUCGG